UACGUGAGGGGCGAACGUUGUUCGGUGUCACUGGGCUUAAAGGGUGCGUAGGUGGUUGUGUAAGUAACGUGUGAAAUCCCUCGGCUUACCCGGGGAAUUGCAUGUUAUACUGCAUGACUUGAGGACUAAAGGGGAAAAGGGAACUCCAGGUGUAGCGGUGAAAUGCGUAGAUAUCUGGAGGAACACCGGUGGCGAAGGCGGCAUCCUGGACCGACAUUGACGCUGAGGCGCGAAAGCCAGGGGAGCAAACGGG
rnacentral:rRNA from 1 species